rnacentral:rRNA from 1 species
GAUGAACGCUAGCUACAGGCUUAACACAUGCAAGCCGAGGGGCAGCAUGGUCUUAGCUUGCUAAGGCCGAUGGCGACCGGCGCACGGGUGAGUAACACGUAUCCAACCUGCCGUCUACUCUUGGACAGCCUUCUGAAAGGAAGAUUAAUACAAGAUGGCAUCAUGAGUCCGCAUGUUCACAUGAUUAAAGGUAUUCCGGUAGACGAUGGGGAUGCGUUCCAUUAGAUAGUAGGCGGGGUAACGGCCCACCUAGUCUUCGAUGGAUAGGGGUUCUGAGAGGAAGGUCCCCCACAUUGGAACUGAGACACGGUCCAAACUCCUACGGGAGGCAGCAGUGAGGAAUAUUGGUCAAUGGGCGAGAGCCUGAACCAGCCAAGUAGCGUGAAGGAUGACUGCCCUAUGGGUUGUAAACUUCUUUUAUAAAGGAAUAAAGUCGGGUAUGGAUACCCGUUUGCAUGUACUUUAUGAAUAAGGAUCGGCUAACUCCGUGCCAGCAGCCGCGGUAAUACGGAGGAUCCGAGCGUUAUCCGGAUUUAUUGGGUUUAAAGGGAGCGUAGAUGGAUGUUUAAGUCAGUUGUGAAAGUUUGCGGCUCAACCGUAAAAUUGCAGUUGAUACUGGAUAUCUUGAGUGCAGUUGAGGCAGGCGGAAUUCGUGGUGUAGCGGUGAAAUGCUUAGAUAUCACGAAGAACUCCGAUUGCGAAGGCAGCCUGCUAAGCUGCAACUGACAUUGAGGCUCGAAAGUGUGGGUAUCAAACAGGAUUAGAUACCCUGGUAGUCCACACGGUAAACGAUGAAUACUCGCUGUUUGCGAUAUACUGCAAGCGGCCAAGCGAAAGCGUUAAGUAUUCCACCUGGGGAGUACGCCGGCAACGGUGAAACUCAAAGGAAUUGGCGGGGGCCCGCACAAGCGGAGGAACAUGUGGUUUAAUUCGAUGAUACGCGAGGAACCUUACCCGGGCUUAAAUUGCAGAUGAAUUACGGUGAAAGCCGUAAGCCGCAAGGCAUCUGUGAAGGUGCUGCAUGGUUGUCGUCAGCUCGUGCCGUGAGGUGUCGGCUUAAGUGCCAUAACGAGCGCAACCCUUGUUGUCAGUUACUAACAGGUUCCGCUGAGGACUCUGACAAGACUGCCAUCGUAAGAUGUGAGGAAGGUGGGGAUGACGUCAAAUCAGCACGGCCCUUACGUCCGGGGCUACACACGUGUUACAAUGGGGGGUACAGAGGGCCGCUACCACGCGAGUGGAUGCCAAUCCCCAAAACCUCUCUCAGUUCGGACUGGAGUCUGCAACCCGACUCCACGAAGCUGGAUUCGCUAGUAAUCGCGCAUCAGCCACGGCGCGGUGAAUACGUUCCCGGGCCU